rnacentral:rRNA from 1 species
AUUGAACGCUGGCGGCAGGCCUAACACAUGCAAGUCGAACGGUAACAUUUCUAGCUUGCUAGAAGAUGACGAGUGGCGGACGGGUGAGUAAUACUUAGGGAUCUGCCCUUGGGUGGGGGAUAACCAUUGGAAACGAUGGCUAAUACCGCAUAACGUCUACGGACCAAAGGGGGCUUCGGCUCUCACCUGAGGAUGAACCUAAGCGAGAUUAGCUAGUUGGUGAGGUAAAGGCUCACCAAGGCGACGAUCUCUAGCUGUUCUGAGAGGAAGAUCAGCCACACUGGGACUGAGACACGGCCCAGACUCCUACGGGAGGCAGCAGUGGGGAAUAUUGCACAAUGGGGGAAACCCUGAUGCAGCCAUGCCGCGUGUGUGAAGAAGGCCUUAGGGUUGUAAAGCACUUUCAGAUGUGAGGAAAGGGUGGUAGUUAAUACCUGCUACCUGUGACGUUAGCAUCAGAAGAAGCACCGGCUAACUCCGUGCCAGCAGCCGCGGUAAUACGGAGGGUGCGAGCGUUAAUCGGAAUUACUGGGCGUAAAGCGCACGCAGGCGGUUAUAUAAGCUAGAUGUGAAAGCCCCGGGCUUAACCUGGGAGAGUCAUUUAGAACUGUAUAACUAGAGUUUUGGAGAGGGGAGUGGAAUUCCAGGUGUAGCGGUGAAAUGCGUAGAUAUCUGGAGGAACAUCAGUGGCGAAGGCGGCUCUCUGGCCAAAAACUGACGCUCAUGUGCGAAAGCGUGGGUAGCGAACAGGAUUAGAUACCCUGGUAGUCCACGCCGUAAACGCUGUCUACUAGCUGUGUGCGGAUUCAUUUCUGUGCGUAGCGAAGCUAACGCGAUAAGUAGACCGCCUGGGGAGUACGGCCGCAAGGUUAAAACUCAAAUGAAUUGACGGGGGCCCGCACAAGCGGUGGAGCAUGUGGUUUAAUUCGAUGCAACGCGAAGAACCUUACCAGGACU